UUUGAUCCUGGCUCAGGAUGAACGCUAGCUACAGGCUUAACACAUGCAAGUCGAGGGGCAUCAGGAAGAAAGCUUGCUUUCUUUGCUGGCGACCGGCGCACGGGUGAGUAACACGUAUCCAACCUGCCCUUUACUCGGGGAUAGCCUUUCGAAAGAAAGAUUAAUACCCGAUGGCAUAAUGAUUCCGCAUGGUUUCAUUAUUAAAGGAUUCCGGUAAAGGAUGGGGAUGCGUUCCAUUAGGUUGUUGGUGAGGUAACGGCUCACCAAGCCUUCGAUGGAUAGGGGUUCUGAGAGGAAGGUCCCCCACAUUGGAACUGAGACACGGUCCAAACUCCUACGGGAGGCAGCAGUGAGGAAUAUUGGUCAAUGGGCGCUAGCCUGAACCAGCCAAGUAGCGUGAAGGAUGAAGGCUCUAUGGGUCGUAAACUUCUUUUAUAUAAGAAUAAAGUGCAGUAUGUAUACUGUUUUGUAUGUAUUAUAUGAAUAAGGAUCGGCUAACUCCGUGCCAGCAGCCGCGGUAAUACGGAGGAUCCGAGCGUUAUCCGGAUUUAUUGGGUUUAAAGGGAGCGUAGGUGGACUGGUAAGUCAGUUGUGAAAGUUUGCGGCUCAACCGUAAAAUUGCAGUUGAUACUGUCAGUCUUGAGUACAGUAGAGGUGGGCGGAAUUCGUGGUGUAGCGGUGAAAUGCUUAGAUAUCACGAAGAACUCCGAUUGCGAAGGCAGCUCACUGGACUGCAACUGACACUGAUGCUCGAAAAGUGUGGGGUAUCAAACAGGAUUAGAUACCCUGGUAGUCCACACAGUAAACGAUGAAUACUCGCUGUUUGCGAUAUACAGUAAGCGGCCAAGCGAAAGCAUUAAGUAUUCCACCUGGGGAGUACGCCGGCAACGGUGAAACUCAAAGGAAUUGACGGGGGCCCGCACAAGCGGAGGAACAUGUGGUUUAAUUCGAUGAUACGCGAGGAACCUUACCCGGGCUUAAAUUGCAGUGGAAUGAUGUGGAAACAUGUCAGUGAGCAAUCACCGCUGUGAAGGUGCUGCAUGGUUGUCGUCAGCUCGUGCCGUGAGGUGUCGGCUUAAGUGCCAUAACGAGCGCAACCCUUAUCUUCAGUUACUAACAGGUCAUGCUGAGGACUCUGGAGAGACUGCCGUCGUAAGAUGUGAGGAAGGUGGGGAUGACGUCAAAUCAGCACGGCCCUUACGUCCGGGGCUACACACGUGUUACAAUGGGGGGUACAGAAGGCAGCUAGCGGGUGACCGUAUGCUAAUCCCAAAAGCCUCUCUCAGUUCGGAUCGAAGUCUGCAACCCGACUUCGUGAAGCUGGAUUCGCUAGUAAUCGCGCAUCAGCCACGGCGCGGUGAAUACGUUCCCGGGCCUUGUACACACCGCCCGUCAAGCCAUGGGAGCCGGGGGUACCUGAAGUACGUAACCGCAAGGAUCGUCCUAGGGUAAAACUGGUGACUGGGGCUAAGUCGUAACAAGGUAACC
rnacentral:rRNA from 1 species